rnacentral:lncRNA from 1 species
CAGAGCCUACACAAGUGUUACAUCACUUAGGUGAUCAGUGCAGAGAUAUGUCACAAUACCCCCUGUAGGCAGAGCAUAGAGAAGAGUUGCAUCACCUGGGUGAUCAGUGCAGAGAUAUGUCACAAUGUCCCCUGUAGGCAAAGCCUAGGCAAGAGUUACAUCACUUUUGUCAUCAGUUCAGAGAUAUGUCAAAACGCCCCUGUAGGCAGAGCCUAGACAAGAGUUACAUCACCUAGUUGAUCAGUGCAGAGAUAUUUCACAAUACCCCCUGUAGGCAGAG